rnacentral:rRNA from 2 species
CCUACGGGAGGCAGCAGUCGAGAAUUUUUCACAAUGGACGAAAGUCUGAUGGAGCGACGCCGCGUGGAGGAUGAAGGUUCUUGGAUUGUAAACUCCUGUCACUGCAGAACAAGGAUACGUUUGUGAAUAGCACGCGUAUUUGAUGGUAUGCGGAGAGGAAGGGACGGCUAACUCUGUGCCAGCAGCCGCGGUAAU